GUUUAAAUGUGAACGGAGCCAGAGAUGAGAAGAAGAGAGCAUCUAUUUAUGAAUUAAAAAAAUUGAAGUGUAUUGAUGUUCUCUUCUUACAAGAAACUCACAGCGACAGCACCAACGAGGCCGACUGGAUGAGGGAGUGGGAAGGGGAAGUCCUCCUAAGCCACAAUACCAACCUCAGUGGAGGAGUGGGCUUCCUCUUCUCCAGGUCUUUUAAUCCACUGUCACUGGAGGUCAAACACAUCAUCGAGGGGAGGUUGUUCUUAGUCAAGGCACGGUUCGACCUUUUUACUGUUGUUUUUAUCAAUGUGUAUGCUCCAACAAUCGGUGCAGAGAGGAAGCUGUUUUUACAAAAAAUUGAUAAUGUUUUAAAUGGCUAGGUCUUUGUAUACUUCUGGGGUGUUUUUAGGCUGAGGAAGAG
ensembl:lncRNA